rnacentral:rRNA from 1 species
UACGGAGGGUGCGAGCGUUGUCCGGAAUCACUGGGCGUAAAGGGCGCGUAGGCGGCCUGGUAAGUAGGGGGUGAAAUCCUGCGGCUUAACCGCAGGGCUGCCUUCUAAACUGUCAGGCUGGAGCACAGUAGAGGCAGGUGGAAUUCCCGGUGUAGCGGUGGAAUGCGUAGAGAUCGGGAAGAACAUCAGUGGCGAAGGCGGCCUGCUGGGCUGUUGCUGACGCUGAGGCGCGACAGCGUGGGGAGCGAACCGG